rnacentral:rRNA from 1 species
GACGGAGGGUGCUAGCGUUGUUCGGAAUUACUGGGCGUAAAGCGUACGUAGGCGGCUUUGUAAGUUAGAGGUGAAAGCCCGGGGCUCAACCCCGGAAUUGCCUUUAAGACUGCAUCGCUUGAACGUCGGAGAGGUGAGUGGAAUUCCGAGUGUAGAGGUGAAAUUCGUAGAUAUUCGGAAGAACACCAGUGGCGAAGGCGGCUCACUGGACGACUGUUGACGCUGAGGUACGAAAGCGUGGGGAGCAAACAGG